CUUGCUCUUAUAGUUAGUGGCGAACGGGUGAGUAACGCGUGGGAAUCUGCCCUGGAGUGGGGAACAACAGUUGGAAACGACUGCUAAUACCGCAUACGCUCUACGGAGGAAAGGCUUCGGCCGCUCCAGGAUGGUCCCGCGUCUGAUUAGCUUGUUGGUGGGGUAACGGCCUACCAAGGCGACGAUCAGUAGCUGGUCUGAGAGGAUGAUCAGCCACACUGGGACUGAGACACGGCCCAGACUCC
rnacentral:rRNA from 1 species